rnacentral:rRNA from 1 species
UGGGGAAUAUUGCACAAUGGGGGAAACCCUGAUGCAGCAACGCCGCGCGAAGGAUGAAGGUUUUCGGAUUGUAAACUUCUUUAGUCAGGGACGAAUAAAUGACGGUACCUGAAGAAUAAGCCACGGCUAACUACGUGCCAGCAGCCGCGGUAAUACGUAGGUGGCAAGCGUUGUCCGGAAUUACUGGGUGUAAAGGGCGUGUAGGCGGGAAUGUAAGUCAGAUGUGAAAUCCCAGGGCUUAACCCUGGAGCUGCAUCUGAAACUAUGUUUCUUGAGUGCCGGAGAGGAAAGCGGAAUUCCUGGUGUAGCGGUGAAAUGCGUAGAUAUUAGGAUGAACACCAGUGGCGAAGGCGGCUUUCUGGACGGUAACUGACGCUGAGGCGCGAAAGCGUGGGGAGCAAACA